AUGACAAUUGGAGUUCACGAUCCGACUUUCUCAAAGCGGCACAAAUUCACCUUCUCCAUUCUUCAUCUCCGCUUCUGCCGCCGCCUGUGUUCGUCUCCAUCUUCAUCGAAUGGACGAUCUUCAAGUUGUUCCAAAUCGAACACCAACGGUGAAGUUCUGAUUUCAGCUCUACUCAUCAUCCCUUACAGAUUUGCACAGAGGAAUAGAGAAAACGAUGAAAGCAACCGCAAAGAUUCAUAG